GGAUUUCGGUUGUUUAGGGUGACUUUUGCAUAGGUGGUCUUUCGUUGCUUUGGAUAGAGCGGUUUGGUUGGUGUUUUCAGUUCUGUUAAGUAAGGGGUGAGUUUCUAGGCUGAAAUUUCAAUUAAUUGUUUUAAGUUUUAUGAAUAGAGCAUAGGAAUUAGCUAAUGGCAUCAAUUGGCAAUUAGUUGGUGUUAAUUUGUUGUUGUAAUGAUAGGUUUAGAUGAUUACAAUAUUUGAACAUGUUGGUAGACCCUGAGUAUUUUGGCAACUGGGUAGUUGAGAUGUUCCCGGCCUA